UUCGCUUCGCAAUUGUCGACGUCGUAAGCGCGUUGCUGUUGUGUUGUGUCUCGUGAUUGAAUCCUAUUGAGAAUUGUCGAAAUUGUUACUUUGUAUUGCCGUGCCUCGCCAUUAAGAGAAGAUUCUUUUUAUCUCGCGGCGAAUCUUCAGCAGCUGCAAGAUUUUUAACGUGUGCAUCCUAUGUAUGCGGAUUGACAUCGCAAUCAGUCACGAUUGCCGUAGUGUGAUCAAAAUAAAAUGGCCGCCGCUGCGGCUGCCGCGCUGCUCGAUGAGCUUAUGGGCAGGAACAGGAAUGUCUUGCCCAAUGAAAAGCCCAAGGAGCUCAAUUGGGAAGAUCCCGAGUUUUGUAAGCUGUAUCUGGUAAAAUUUUGUCCCCAUGAUUUAUUCGUUAACACAAGAGCGGACUUAGGUGCAUGCCCCAAGGUACACGACGAUGAGGCCAGGGAAUUGUUUGAAAAGGCACCGCAUUCGUAUCGUAAACAGCAAUACGAGGAUGAGUUUAUCAGGUAUUGUCAGAGUAUGUUAAACGAAGUGGAGAGAAAGAUCAUAAAGGGAAAGCAGCGAUUGGCACUGAUUGGGAGAACAGAAGCACCGACGUUAACGCCAGCCCAAACUCAGAGGAAUGAGGAACAGAUUGCUCUACUAACAGAGAAAAUAAAUAAGUUGGUUGAAGAAGCUGAACAAAGUGGAAUUCAAGGUAAUGUGGAGCAAGCACAGGGCCUAAUGCGUCUUUGUGACCAGUUGAAAGAAGAGCGCGAAACUCUGAGGAAAUCCAAUGAUAACAGUCAUUACAACCAAACUGCUGAGCUAGCAGCCGCACAGGAGAAACAAAUGGAGGUAUGCGAUGUAUGUGGUGCAUUUCUUAUCGUGGGUGAUGCUCAACAGCGGAUUGAUGAUCAUUUAAUGGGGAAACAACACGUGGGCUAUGCCAGGCUAAAGAGCGCUCUUCAAGAGAUUAUGAACAAGCGUGAGAAGGCACGCGACGAGAAAGAACAAAAAAGAGAGGAGGAACGGAAGCAAAGAGCACGAGCGAACGAAGAGCUCGAUCGACGGCGGAGAGACGGCGACAGAGAAAGAGAUCGCGACAGAGAAAGAGACAAGCGUCGCAGACGAAUGGAUGAUGACAAGAACCGCCAUGAUUCGGGCGGUCAUAGCAGAAAUAUGAUGUUCAAGAAUCGAAUGAGCCAAUGUAACGGGGAUGUUGCUUAUUACAGAAAUUCUAGGCAUAGAAGUAGAAGUAGAUCGCGAGAUAAACAUCAUCGAGAUGAAGAUAGCCAUCGACGUCACGGUCGAGAUAAAGGGAAUCGUGAUCAUCGUAGUUCCAGCCAUCAUAACCGUCGCCGUCAUCGCUCGCGAAGUCGAAGUCACAAGUAACUUCUCUUGAUUGGUUAGUGAGUGAGAAGUAAGCCAGGAAAAACCCGCGAAGGUCUAUGGAAUUGUGGAUAUGCGCUUUCAAGAUGAAUCUAAUGAAUGUGAAUAAAUACAAUCAGGUUGAAACUCGUCCAAUAUAAUAGAUUCAUAGUGUUUACUUAAAAAUAAAACGAAUUGUUUCUAUAAAAAAAAAUACAGCGUUUUUCUUUUUAUUCUAAGUAGUCUUGUCGCGUUUUGUUUUUAGAUAAUUGAUUUCGAGGUUUACUCUUCGAGAAUUUAUCUUGCUUUUUCAUGUAUUUUGUAAAAGGUCAUCGUACUUCUUAUUGCGAUAAUAUAAAUUCAAAUCUCGGUAAAAGCUGAUAAUUUUGAACUUGACUCUUUUUGCUUCUCGGGCACAAGGUUAUCUCUGUAGAUUCGUUAAUGCCGCAAUCUUGUUUACGCGUCAUUAACGAGAGAGAGAGAGAGAGAGAAAGAGAGAAAGAGAGAGAGAAAGAAAGAGAUUUAGUGGUUUAGUGUGGAGGGGACACAGCUCUCAGCUCUGCCCGCUUCAUAGAGCUUCGUCCACGACUGCAAAUGCACGAGUGCACAACUGUGAGUGCGCCCUGCAAACGUGUGACUGUGACUAUACGAACCUCUAGCUUCUGCCACGCUCAAUUGACGAGGUAUUUAUGCCGGAAUGAUAAUAUCAACACAUGUCCUUCUGCCAGGAGAAUUAGCUCUUUGUUCUUUUGAGAUCCUUGGCUAGCUAAGGUUUAACGAUUUUUGAGAUACAAAGUUUUAGACAUGGAUCUUCAAAUCGCUGAUAUUUAGGAUCGUGCACAUUUGUGCAAGACCGACAUUAGUACUCUACCAUUUUUAUCAGGAAAUAAAAUAUAUUCAAACAAGAAUGCUACUCUUAGCAGAGUUAAUAGGAAAAGAAAUAUAGGAAGAAGAGAAGAACCAAGAGCGACUUCCAGAACUUGUCCAAGACAGCGUUUAACAUAUUGUUAAGGUAAAGAUUUUGCAUAAUCUUAACAAUAAAAAAAAGAGUGAGAGAAGGGAGGACAGGUGAAGAAAAUAUUUGCGUUGAGAUCACAGAUAUACCAGAAUCGAUAUAAAUCGUGUUCAAAGCAAUUAUUUUAGACCAUCCAUACAUAAACAGAAUGAUCAGCAAGGUAAAUUGUACAAUUUGUAUUUGCUGUUAUAAUAAUAAUACUUGUAAAUUGUUA